CCCCUCGAAAGUUUUUUUUCCCCUUCCCUCUUUCUUUCUUCUUCUUCCCAGAAGAAAAACACGAUACUCCUUCCCAAUCGACGAUCUAAACCCCAAUCUCGUCUCCAUUAAAAUCACCUCUGAUUACCUCUUUUUCCGAACAGAUAGGAUAGAUUGAUUGGUUUACAUAAACCGUGAACAAUUUAUAGAUACGAAUCAAAAUCCCUAGACUAAAUUUUACUCAGAAAUCAAAACCCCUGAACAAUUGAGAUACUUUAAUCUAUUAGAAAAGCAAAUUGAAGCUGCAAAUCAAGAUGGGUAUGUUGCUGUUUGAAACAAUUAUGGUUUAAAGGAAGGAUUCGAGUUGGUGAUUGAGAUGAAUUUUAUGGAUUUUGACUGAUUGACAUUGAUGGUACUCCCUAUCGCAGUUGAGGAUGUUAAACGAGAGGUCAAGAUAUUGCAAGCUCUUACAGCUCGUGGUUCAAUUUCAUAACGCAUUCCAGGAUGAUUCUUGUGUGUAUAUAGCCAUGGAUUUCAGUGAAUACUGGUGGUUAGAAAGGAUAUUCAGUGUUAUUGCAGUGAUGGAGGAAAUGGUUGUCUGUGUUGGUGAUUUGCAACUGAGAUUAGUUGGUCUUGUUGUUGCAGUAAAAAUUACAUGGCUAGAAGGGACUGGAGCUGCAGAAUGGGGUUACAGACUGGAGAUUAUUCUGUUGCACAUAUGAAAAUUCAACACGACCAAGGAAGUUCGUUGAUUUUGUUUAUCACGAAAUUGCCCGUGUAAUUCUUCAUGAUGAAAAACAUAUAUCAGUUUGAAUGUACUUCCAGUCCAACUCAUUUAUCAAUCCAGUUGAUGGACUGUAGUCGUGAAAAGCCCGAAGUUACCGAUGUUUCUAUGGAUCCUCAUUUCUCUCUUGUUUGCACAGUGCCUUUCUCUCAGUUCUUCCUGACAGGAAGGAGGUGCAUGAUAUUUUUUCACGGAAACAAACGAAAAUACGCACGCGUGGAAGAAAUUUCUGGUGCAUACAAUACCAUGGAUGGAGUUCGAGUUGUCAAUGGUUUGGAGUGCAAGAUAUCUUGCGUGACAUCCAAGGUCUCUUAUGUUCUAGACACCGAAGAUUUCUUCUUUCGGAUUAAAAGAAAAAUCAAAAAUGUAACAGAGGGUACCACCAACUCAACAUGUCACGAGCAAUAAAGCCCUUAAACCGUUACGCUCUAAGAAUAGAAUGAUACCAAAAGUUCCUGUCUGGAUCCUAAUGUAUAUGCUCAAGAUUUCAAGAGAUGGGAUGUGGUAAUCCAAAGCUGAAAAAAGAUAUGAUGUAGUGCAAGCUGGUGUCAGAGAAACUUUGUUGUUGAGAAGGCGUUCCCUUGCUUUCUUGAAUUCCUCUUACCAGCGAAGGAAGGUACAACUUUGAAAGAGGUAGAGAAAGCAAAGUGUAGUAUUUUUGUAAGUUCAUUUGUUCUAGUGGUGUUUUUAAAGUUUUUUUUUCUUCCUGGUGUAGCUGAAUAAUACUCGAGUCAGAUAGCUGACUUGGCUAACUCAUUUUUUACAUUGACCAGUUGACUAAAGGUUUGACUAGCUUGAGUGUUAGCUACCAUGAAGUCAACAGAUUAGAAGAUUCCGGUAAUCAGCAGUAGUUUUGUUUGAACA